rnacentral:tRNA from 1 species
CGGAGCGUGGCGCAAUUGGUAGCGCACUUGCUUUGGGAGCGAGGGGUUGCGAGUUCGAGUCUCGCCGCUCCGA